rnacentral:rRNA from 1 species
UUGCUAGCUUGCUAAUAAUUCUCUAGUGGCGCACGGGUGAGUAACACGUGAGUAACCUGCCCCCGAGAGCGGGAUAGCCCUGGGAAACUGGGAUUAAUACCGCAUAGUAUCGAAAGAUUAAAGCAGCAAUGCGCUUGGGGAUGGGCUCGCGGCCUAUUAGUUAGUUGGUGAGGUAACGGCUCACCAAGGCGAUGACGGGUAGCCGGUCUGAGAGGAUGUCCGGCCACACUGGAACUGAGACACGGUCCAGACACCUACGGGUGGCAGCAGUCGAGAAUCAUUCACAAUGGGGGAAACCCUGAUGGUGCGACGCCGCGUGGGGGAAUGAAGGUCUUCGGAUUGUAAGCCCCCGUCAUGUGGGAGCAAAUUAAAAAGAUAGUACCACAAGAGGAAGAGACGGCUAACUCUGUGCCAGCAGCCGCGGUAAUACAGAGGUCUCAAGCGUUGUUCGGAAUCACUGGGCGUAAAGCGUGCGUAGGCUGUUUCGUAAGUCGUGUGUGAAAGGCGCGGGCUCAACCCGCGGACGGCACAUGAUACUGCGAGACUAGAGUAAUGGAGGGGGAACCGGAAUUCUCGGUGUAGCAGUGAAAUGCGUAGAUAUCGAGAGGAACACUCGUGGCGAAGGCGGGUUCCUGGACAUUAACUGACGCUGAGGCACGAAGGCCAGGGGAGCGAAAGGGAUUAGAUACCCCUGUAGUCCUGGCAGUAAACGGUGCACGCUUGGUGUGCGGGGAAUCGACCCCCUGCGUGCCGGAGCUAACGCGUUAAGCGUGCCGCCUGGGGAGUACGGUCGCAAGAUUAAAACUCAAAGAAAUUGACGGGGACCCGCACAAGCGGUGGAGUAUGUGGCUUAAUUCGAUGNCACGCGAAGAACCUUACCUGGGCUUG